UAGUCUGGAAGCUCUUCUGAAAUCUAUUCAGCAUCAUAGCAACAUGCGAGCCUCCGCUGAUGGACAUCACUGAUGGGUGGUGCUGUGCACGAGGUGCAUUGGCUGGGAAUUGAAGCUGGGUCUCCCUCGUGGAAGGUACAGAAUUCUUCAUGAAGACAAGGAAAAGCAGUCUGCCUUUUCAGAGAUUCUGCAAGUAGCUUAAUGACAGAUCUGCAAGUACUGAAGAAAUUAUAAACACAUUUAAAAUUUUCUCUUAACACUGGUUACUUGAAAAUCUUUAUGUUGUGUGUGUUCUCCCUUCCUAAGAUGACUAUAUUUCUUGGUCUCCGACUGAAGAAUCUACCAGCAUGUGUUCCUUGUGAGCAGACGGAGAUGCAAAUCUAAGGAAAACUCAACCACAUUCACAAUUAUGGCCUCCAAAAAUCAAGUGUCUCAACAAAUCUUUGCCUUUGAAAUUUGACCUGUUCAGUUCUAAUAUUCUCAAAGGCAAGGACUGUAUUGUCUUCAUGUAGCAGAUAUCUACAUGAUGUGUGUGCGGGAGGUUUUUCCUUCAUUAUGUCGUUGUUAGCUGCCGUCAAGUUGACCCUCGACUCCUGGUGAGCCCAUGCACAACGGAGCUAAAUGCUGCUUGGUCCUGUGCCAUCCCGAUGAUCGAUUGAGGAUCACACUGUUGUGAUCCAUAGGAAGUAGAUCACCAGGCCUGUCUUCCUAGUCUGUCUUAGUCUGGAAACUCUGCUGAAACCUGUUCAAUACCAUAGCGACAUGAAAGCCUCCGAUGACAGAUGGGUGGUGGCCAGGCAUGAAGUGCAUUGGCUAGGAAUGGAACCCAGGUCUUCCGCAUGGAAAGCAAGAAUUGUACCACUGAACCACCAAUGACAAGUCUUUGUUUACUACUCAUUACAUGCAAGAGAGGAGCCCCGGUGGCACAGCGGUUAAGAGCUCUGCUGCUAACCAAAAGGUGCCAUCGAGUCAGUUCCGACUCAAAGUGACCUCACGUACAACAG